AAGUCGUAACAAGGUUUCCGUAGGUGAACCUGCGGAAGGAUCAUUAUCACGUUAUCCACGUAUCAACCAUUGUGAAUUUGUCUCAUUUGACCUUUAAAUUUUUAGUGAAGUUUCGUUUUUUUUCGAAGUUGGUUUGUAAACCGUUAUCAAACAAUAACUGAUUGGAAUUGUUGAGGUUUACAAAUUGAUCCAAACAUUUACUUGUUUGACUUCGCUUAAUUUAAAGUGUAAAUUUUCCAAUCAAAAUUAUUAUCAUUAACCAUUUAAACCCAAAAUUUUAAUUAAUUUUGAACUGAAUUAAUUUCUUACUUUCUUUUCACAAAGAGAGAAGAAAUAAAAAUCUUACGAAACAUAAGAACAACUCUUAGCAACGGAUAUCUUGGUUCUC
rnacentral:misc_RNA from 1 species